GAUCAGUUCACAAUUGUAUAUCAUUUUGUACCCUUCUAGCUUAUGAUUUGGUUAUGUUAUUGAGUCAAACGUGUGCUUUUAAUCCCUUUUCUGUUUAUCAUUCAGUUCAUUGGGCCUUAGGUAGCAAUGGUGUCUUUGGAUAAGAAAAGAUGCAAAAUGGUGCAAAAACGAGCAGACUGGGUUAGCAACUCAUUUCGGCCUUAACAUCUUUCUCCGAACUUGGAUUGGCCCAAAUAAUAUGUAGUUGGAAAGAUGAGAGUCUGAACUUCAAGAUGGACUACUCAAAUGCAUCAGAUAAUGAAGUUGAGCCCAAUUCGUGAGCCCAUAUACACACCAGGCUCAGGAUUGCAGUUUCCAGUUGUUGAGCCUUGGAUACUUUCUUUGAGCCAUGUGACUCACCACAGCUUUCCUUGACUUUAGACCUGACAUGUUGAGCAAUUUAGGGAGGUGUGUCAGCUACUCAAGUGCAAAGGAGUCACUCCAUUGACCAAUAAUUCACUCCAGCCAUCCUAUAUCACUUGAUUCAGCCCAAAAUCAGGGGGGACAACUCCAACAAGCCUUCCUUCCAUUUCCUACGAAUUUGUUCUUUCUCUGCCAUCACCAACCACCCAAACUCAUCCCAAAUCACCUCUUUAGUUGCCAUACUCUAGACAUGAGAAAGUUCUUGGAGUAGCAUUAGACGUGGAGAAGCACCUGGAGAAGCCUUGGAAACCACAAGCAACUUCAGAAUUGGGUUUCUCUACUCUUAUUGCAUUCAAUAUGUUUUCUCAUUUUUGCUUAAGUUUCAUUUCCAUUAUGAGUAGCUAAAUUCAUAACUAGGGCUAUGAUGUAACCUAACAUGAAUAUUCUGGGUUUAUAAGUUGAAGUUUUGAGUUUCAAGUUUGAUUCAUGAUUCAUAUUCCUAUUCUUUAUGUUUAUCAGUUAAUAUGCUUGUUUGGAUGAUUGAUCACCAUUAGAACUUGUAUAUUAGCUACCUUGGUUUGAAUCAAGAGUAGACACCAUGCUUUCAUUUGAAUUGAACUAUGAAUAAGAAAAGUAUGUAUGGCCAUUCGACAACAGGGAUUAGAUACAUGCUUGGUUGUUUAAAUUGUUCUUCUAUGCUUAAUGGGUUCCUAAUACUUAAUUUAGAUUAGACAACAAAUGAUCAAGUUAGGGAAUUAGGAGCACAAGGUUAGGACCAGACACCAUGGCCUAAUCAAACUUUAGCUAGAAUCAAUCUUUGAAUCCGAAUGAGACUUGUCACUUGACUCCUUAUAACCCAGAAUUGAAUUGUUAUGGUCAAUCGAAUGCCCUAGUCUCCCAAUCUGUUUUCCAGCCUACAAAAGUACUCUUUGUUACAUUUGUUCACUUUGCUUUUGUUUGAAAUUUGGUUUUGCCUCAUUUGUUCAAAAAUUACAAUCACUGUUGCUUUAAAUUCCAUUUUAGACUUAACCUCCUACUUUCUUGAAUUUGGUAAUCUAAGUACAUAACUAAUUUUAACUUCUCAGUCCUCGUGGGUACAACCUCGUAUUUGUCUUGCUAUACUACUAAUUGGCCCGUU
rnacentral:lncRNA from 1 species